rnacentral:rRNA from 1 species
GCCUACGGGAGGCUGCAGUGGGGAAUAUUGGACAAUGGGGGGAACCCUGAUCCAGCCAUGCCGCGUGUGUGAAGAAGGCCUUUUGGUUGUAAAGCACUUUAAGCGAGGAGGAGGCUUACCUGGUUAAUACCUGGGAUAAGUGGACGUUACUCGCAGAAUAAGCACCGGCUAACUCUGUGCCAGCAGCCGCGGUAAUACAGAGGGUGCGAGCGUUAAUCGGAUUUACUGGGCGUAAAGCGUGCGUAGGCGGGUUUUUAAGUCGGAUGUGAAAUCCCCGAGCUUAACUUGGGAAUUGCAUUCGAUACUGGGAAGCUAGAGUAUGGGAGAGGAUGGUAGAAUUCCAGGUGUAGCGGUGAAAUGCGUAGAGAUCUGGAGGAAUACCGAUGGCGAAGGCAGCCAUCUGGCCUAAUACUGACGCUGAGGUACGAAAGCAUGGGGAGCAAACAGGAUUAGAUACCCCGGUAGUCAGU